AACAUCGCGCACCUGCGGGAACCUGCGGAGGGAUCAUUACAGAGUUGCAAAACUCCCUAAACCACUGUGAACGUUACCUAAACCGUUGCUUCGGCGGGCGGCCCGGGUCCUUCCCGGCGCCCAUCGGCCCUCGCGGGCGCCCGCCGGAGGUAAACCAAACUAUUGCAUUGUAUGGCCUCUCUGAGUCUUCUGUACUGAAUAAGUCAAAACUUUCAACAACGGAUCUCAGAUCGGAAGAGC
rnacentral:misc_RNA from 1 species